GACGAACGCUGGCGGCGUGCCUAAUACAUGCAAGUUGAGCGCUGAAGGUUGGUACUUGUACCAACUGGAUGAGCAGCGAACGGGUGAGUAACGCGUGGGGAAUCUGCCUUUGAGCGGGGGACAACAUUUGGAAACGAAUGCUAAUACCGCAUAAAAACUUUAAACACAAGUUUUAAGUUUGAAAGAUGCAGUUGCAUCACUCAAAGAUGAUCCCGCGUUGUAUUAGCUAGUUGGUGAGGUAAAGGCUCACCAAGGCGAUGAUACAUAGCCGACCUGAGAGGGUGAUCGGCCACAUUGGGACUGAGACACGGCCCAAACUCCUACGGGAGGCAGCAGUAGGGAAUCUUCGGCAAUGGACGAAAGUCUGACCGAGCAACGCCGCGUGAGUGAAGAAGGUUUUCGGAUCGUAAAACUCUGUUGGUAGAGAAGAACGUUGGUGAGAGUGGAAAGCUCAUCAAGUGACGGUAACUACCCAGAAAGGGACGGCUAACUACGU
rnacentral:rRNA from 1 species